GAAGGGCGUUUGGUGAAUGCCUUGGCAGUAAGAGGCGAUGAAGGACGUGAUACUCUGCGAUAAGCUUGGGGGAGCCGAGAAUAGGCUUUGAUCCCAGGAUCUCCGAAUGGGGCAACCCACUUGAUACUCUGUUAUUGUUAGCAUCACGCUGAUCAAUAACCGGGUAAACCAAGUACUUAAUACCUGAAUACAUAGGGUUUUAAGAGCGAACCCGGGGAACUGAAACAUCUAAGUACCCGGAGGAAAGGAAAUCAACAGAUACUCCCCUAGUAGCGGCGAGCGAACGGGGACCAGCCGAGCCUUGAGAGUGACCAGAACAAUCUGGAAAGAUUGACCAUAGUGGGUGACAGUCCCGUAUGGGAAGCUCGAUAGGACGUAUUAAGUAGGGCGGGACACGUGAAAUCCUGUCUGAACAUCGGAGGACCACCUUCGAAGGCUAAGUACUCCUUACUGACCGAUAGUGAACCAGUACCGUGAGGGAAAGGUGAAAAGCACCCCGACGAGGGGAGUGAAACAGUACCUGAAACCGAACGCCUACAAUCAGUCGGAGGCUCCUUGCGAGCUGACGGCGUACCUUUUGUAUAAUGGGUCAUCGACUUGGUCUCACGAGCAAGCUUAAGCCGUUAGGUGUAGGCGCAGCGAAAGCGAGUCUUAAUAGGGCGAAUGAGUUCGUGGGAUCAGACCCGAAACCGAGUGAUCUAGGCAUGACCAGGCUGAAGGUAAGGUAACACUUACUGGAGGGCCGAACCCACACCUGUUGAAAAAGGUCGGGAUGAGUUGUGCCUAGGGGUGAAAGGCCAAUCAAACUCGGAGAUAGCUGGUUCUCUGCGAAAUCUAUUUAGGUAGAGCGUCAUCCGAAUACCCCGGGGGGUAGAGCACUGGAUGGGUAAUGGGGCCCCACAGGCUUACUGAUCCUAACCAAACUCCGAAUACCCGGGAGUACUAGAUGGCAGACACACUGCGGAUGCUAACGUCCGUAGUGGAGAGGGAAACAACCCUGACCUCCAGCUAAGGCCCCUAAUUCAUGGCUAAGUGGGAAAGCAGGUGGGACGACCAAAACAACCAGGAGGUUGGCUUAGAAGCAGCCAUCCUUUAAAGAUAGCGUAACAGCUCACUGGUCUAAAUAAGUUGUCCUGCGGCGAAGAUGUAACGGGGCUCAAGCCAUGAGCCGAAGCUGAGGAUGCACAUAGUGCAUGGUAGCAGAGCGUAGUGUGACAUAGUUCCAUGCGUCUUUAACCUUCGUCAUCGAAGGUCUUAGACGCAAGGAGCUUUCUGUGAAGCCGGGGCGUGAGCCAUCCGGUGGAGAGAUCACUAGCGAGAAUGAUGACAUGAGUAGCGACAAACAGGGUGAGAGACCCUGUCGCCGAAAGUCCAAGGGUUCCUGCUUAAAGCUAAUCUGAGCAGGGUAAGCCGGCCCCUAAGGCGAGGCCGAAAGGCGUAGUCGAUGGGAACUAGGUUAAUAUUCCUAGGCCGUGAGGUGGUG
rnacentral:rRNA from 1 species